AGAUUGAACGCUGGCGGCAGGCCUAACACAUGCAAGUCGAGCGGUAGAGAGGUGCUUGCACCUCUUGAGAGCGGCGGACGGGUGAGUAAUGCCUAGGAAUCUGCCUAGUGGUGGGGGAUAACGUUCGGAAACGGACGCUAAUACCGCACACGUCCUACGGGAGAAAGCGGGGGACCUUCGGGCCUCGCGCCAUUAGAUGAGCCUAGGUCGGAUUAGCUAGUUGGUGAGGUAAUGGCUCACCAAGGCGACGAUCCGUAACUGGUCUGAGAGGAUGAUCAGUCACACUGGAACUGAGACACGGUCCAGACUCCUACGGGAGCAGCAGUGGGGGAAUAUUGGACAAUGGGACGAAAGCCUGAUCCAGCCAUGCCGCGUGUGUGAAGAAGGUCUUCGGAUUAGUAAAG
rnacentral:rRNA from 1 species